UACGUAGGGGCAAGUGUUGUCCGGAAUCAUUGGGCGUAAAGCGCGCGUAGGCGGCCCGAUCAGUCCGCUGUGAAAGUCGAGGGCUCAACCCUCGAAUGCCGGUGGAUACUGUCGGGCUAGAGUACGGAAGAGGCGAGUGGAAUUCCUGGUGUAGCGGUGAAAUGCGCAGAUAUCAGGAGGAACACCAAUUGCGAAGGCAGCUCGCUGGGACGUUACUGACGCUGAGACGCGAAAGCGUGGGAGGAAACAGG
rnacentral:rRNA from 1 species